rnacentral:rRNA from 1 species
GAUGAACGCUGGCGGUGUGCCUAACACAUGCAAGUCGAGCGACAACACAAUAAGAGUUUUCUCCUACGGUUAGCGACUGGCGGACGAGUAAGAAAUACAUCACCUUCUACUUUUUCUUGGGUAACAACGGGGGAAAGCUGCCACUACUAGCGCAUACAAUCUACGGCAUAGAUCAAGAGUUCAUGACAGCUUUCCCGUUUCUUAUAGCCGGAUCCGCGUCGGAUUAGCUAGUUGGUAAGGUAACGGCUUACCAAGGCAACGAUGCGUAGCUGACCUGAGAGGGUGAUCGGCCACACUGGAACUGAGACACGGUCCAGACUCCUACGGGAAGCAGCAGUAGGGAAUCUUCCGCAAUGGGCGAAAGCCUGACCGAGCAACGCCGCGUGAGUGAUGAAGGUCUUCGGAUCGUAAAACUCUGUUAUUAGGGAAGAACAAAUGUGUAAGUAACUAUGCACGUCUUGACGGUACCUAAUCAGAAAGCCACGGCUAACUACGUG